CACGUAGGAGGCGAGCGUUAUUCGGAUUUACUGGGCGUAAAGGGCGAGUAGGUGGCACAUCAAGUUGGAUGUGAAAGCUCCCGGCUUAACUGGGAGAGGACGUUCAAAACUGAUGAGCUUGAGUAUGAGAGAGGAAAAUGGAAUUCCGGGUGUAGUGGUGAAAUGCGUAGAUAUCCGGAGGAACACCAGUGGCGAAGGCGAUUUUCUGGCUCAAGACUGACACUCAGACGCGAAAGCUAGGGUAGCAAACGGGAUUAGAGACC
rnacentral:rRNA from 1 species